UGUGGGAGCGAGCCUGCUCGCGAAGGCGUCAGACUUUCAAUACAAAGGUGUCUGGCAUACCGCUUUCGCGAGCAGGCUCGCUCCCACA
rnacentral:ncRNA from 3 species